CAGAUUGUAAGGAAUCGUACCCCAAACCGACACAGGUGGUCGGGUAGAGAAUACCAAGGCGCUUGAGAGAACUCGGGUGAAGGAACUAGGCAAAAUGGUACCGUAACUUCGGGAGAAGGUACGCUCUCGACGGUGAAGUCCCUCGCGGAUGGAGCUGACGAGAGUCGCAGAUACCAGGUGGCUGCAACUGUUUAUUAAAAACACAGCACUGUGCAAAAUCGUAAGAUGACGUAUACGGUGUGACGCCUGCCCGGUGCC
rnacentral:rRNA from 1 species